rnacentral:rRNA from 1 species
GACGAACGCUGGCGGCGUGCCUAACACAUGCAAGUCGAGCGAGAGACUUCGGUCUCUAGCGGCGGACGGGUGAGUAACACGUGGGUAACCUGCCUCAUAGAGGGGGAUAGCCUUCCGAAAGGAAGAUUAAUACCGCAUAACAUCAGAUUGUCGCAUGGCAGUUUGAUCAAAGGAGUAAUCCGCUAUGAGAUGGACCCGCGGCGCAUUAGCUAGUUGGUGAGGUAACGGCUCACCAAGGCCACGAUGCGUAGCCGACCUGAGCGGGUGAUCGGCCACAUUGGAACUGAGAUACGGUCCAGACUCCUACGGGAGGCAGCAGUGGGGAAUAUUGCACAAUGGGCGAAAGCCUGAUGCAGCAACGCCGCGUGAGUGAUGAAGGCCUUCGGGUUGUAAAGCUCUGUCUUUGGGGACGAUAAUGACGGUACCCAAGGAGGAAGCCACGGCUAACUACGUGCCAGCAGCCGCAGUAACAC